rnacentral:rRNA from 1 species
AUUGAACGCUGGCGGCAUGCCUUACACAUGCAAGUCGAACGGUAACGCGGGGCAACCUGGCGACGAGUGGCGAACGGGUGGAGUAAUAUAUCGGAACGUGCCCAGUAGUGGGGGAGUAGCCCGGCCGAAAGACCGGAUUAAUACCGCAUGAGACCUGAGGGUGAAAGCGGGGGAGUCGCAAGACCUCGCGCUAUUGGAGCGGCCGAUAUCAGAUUAGCUAGUUGGUGGGGUAAAGGCCCACCAAGGCAACGAUCUGUAGUUGGUCUGAGAGGACGACCAGCCACACUGGGACUGAGACACGGCCCAGACUCCUACGGGAGGCAGCAGUGGGGAAUUUUUGGACAAUGGGCGCAAGCCUGAUCCAGCAAUGCCGCGUGCAGGAAGAAGGCC